GUGCCAGCCGCCGCGGUAAUACCGGCAGCCCGAGUGAUGGCCGAUCUUAUUGGGCCUAAAGCGUCCGUAGCUGGCCGCGCAAGUCCAUCGGGAAAUCCACCUGCUCAACAGGUGGGCGCCUGGUGGAAACUGUGCGGCUUGGGACCGGGAGGCCUGAGGGGUACGUCCGGGGUAGGAGUGAAAUCCUGUAAUCCUGGACGGACCGCCGGUGGCGAAAGCGCCUCGGGAAGACGGACCCGACAGUGAGGGACGAAAGCUGGGAUCUCGAACCGGAUUAGAAACCCGUGUAGUCC
rnacentral:rRNA from 1 species